UACGUAGGGUGCAAGCGUUAAUCGGAAUUACUGGGCGUAAGGGGUGCGUAGGCGGUUGUUUAAGUCUGCCGUGAAAUCCCCGGGCUCAACCUGGGAAUGGCGGUGGAUACUGGGCAGCUAGAGUGUGUCAGAGGAUGGUGGAAUUCCCGGUGUAGCGGUGAAAUGCGUAGAGAUCGGGAGGAACAUCAGUGGCGAAGGCGGCCAUCUGGGACAACACUGACGCUGAAGCACGAAAGCGUGGGGAGCAAACAGG
rnacentral:rRNA from 1 species